rnacentral:lncRNA from 1 species
UGUUUUAAAUAUUUCCAUCCCUAAUUUUAAAAUUUCUGGAUGUUAAAGCAAACUUACCCACUAAGAGAACCGUGUCAUCCUAGGUGUCUGGGGAGCCCCUCUCCAAGUGACUUUUUGGAAACGUGUCCUCAGUGGUCCUGCAGAGAUUUUGUCCCAAGGCUCCUGGGCAGCUCCCCUCAGGCCCCAGCUACCCCACGGAGCCCUCUUCCACGGCUGCCGGGUCGUUGCUGCCCAAAGGGGCCGGUUGCACAGUCCACGGCCUCCUAGGCUCAAGUUACACUUCAUCUGAUUCCUCCACCUACACACACAGAAGUUAGAAACUCCUACCCAGGUUGCUAUACAACUUGUCUGGAUGUAAUUCCUCUAUUGAAGGAUUUAUCUGAAUUCUUUCCACGUUUUUCCAGCUCCUGGGGCCACCAGUCUCCCAGCUGUUGACUAGUCAAAUUUCUCCUGCUGCUGCCCGACUCUGGGGACAGGCCUGGUGGCACGCGGAUGCGUGUGACAGGAGGAUCUGUGUUUAACAGAAGAUGGUGGCUUAGUUGGGAUGAUGAAGCCCUGGGGGAGGCAGGAGCAAACGGCGAAUCUGUUUGCCUGGACCUUCUCCGCUUUCUCCAUCGUUGUACUUCCUGCGCUCGUUGGACGGUGCUUCGCGGCCGUUUCUGUUGGCCUCCCAGGCUAGGUGGCUCCAUGGCCCGACCCUGCACCCCUCACCGAGUCUCCUGCUCCGCUGGUGUGAGAGCUCCGUUGCUGUGUUAGGGGUGGGCUGGGGCACCGUCUGGCUUGGGGAAGUGAAGCAAGUGUACGUGCCUUUCCACCUACACGUCCCAGAGACGUGGAUACCUAUGGAGCUAGUGUACCUGCCUAAACAGGUUCAGCAACGAAGAAGCUUCGGUUCUCACACUCCAAGACUAGAUGGGACUGCUGGCCACAUGGUUUUCACGACUCUGAUAAAGCCCUGACCCGGGUCACACCCGGAUGAAUGUCAGGGGGAGCUGCCCUUUAGCUCCUGUGUACAUACAUCUCUGGUUCAUGAUUCUGGGAUGAGCCCACGAUGGUGGUGCCAUGAACAGCUUUUUCUCUAACCUGAGAUACAGAGAGAAAAGCCUAGAAUAUUGCUUUGUAUGAUUUCUUGUCAUCAGGACUUCUGCUCGUCUUUUGGAGGAGAUGGAAGGGACAGGGAAGCAGAUGAAUCAUCCCCGUCACGAUGGCCAACACCAUCCCGGCUCAGCUUUCUGCAGGGAUUCCCUCCGCUGGGCCCCUCUCUGAGAGUGCUGACCAGGGCUACCCACUGAGCUGUACCUGGCGAAGGCACCCAACACCUUUCAUCCUUCACUCUUUCCCUCCCUACUUUAUUGAGAUUGGCAAAAUUUAAACAUUGUCCAAAUUUGAACAUGCUGUCGGUGGGGUGGUUGCUCUAUCCACCUUCGGCCUUUCUCUUGCAUGUGCUGCUCCUCGCGGUGGCUCCGGGUAUGAGGAGAGCCCGGGUGGGACGGCACUGGCGGCUCUAGGGAGCCUGGCGCUCGGCCCUCAGGAGAACAGCACACAGGGAUAGAAGCGUCACUGUCUGGGGUGGGAAGGCCUGGGAAACUGAGGUGAGCAGCCGUUUUGAGGAUUCACCUGUAAGUAGUAGGUGAUCUUGGGACACGAGGUUUAGGUCCAUGUAGGCAGUAAACAGACACUUCUCAACACCUACGAUGCGCUGAGGUUCUUGGGACAGAUCAGUGAGCGAAGGAAACAAAAAUCCCUACCUUUGUGGAGCUUACAUUCCAUUGGGAGAAAGAUGGUAAAAAAAUAAAGGUGUUGGGGAUCCUUGGGUGGCUCA